rnacentral:rRNA from 1 species
ACUCCUACGGGAGGCAGCAGUAAGGAAUAUUGCGCAAUGGGCGAAAGCCUGACGCAGCGACGCCGCGUGGGGGAUGAAGGUCUUCGGAUUGUAAACCCCUUUCGGGAGGGAAGAUGGAGCGAGCAAUCGUUCGGACGGUACCUCCAGAAGCAGCCACGGCCAACUUCGUGCCAGCAGCCGCGGUAAUA